UCCCCUCUCUCCGCCUCCUUUUUCCUCUCUCUAGCCGCCACCCCUUCUUCUUCUCCCUCUCCCAUCGCUCCUCCCUCACUCCCUCUUUCCGACCAGCCGUCCUCCUCCCCUUUUCCCUCUCUCUCUCGCGACCCCUUUCUCUUUAACUUACCUUGUCUCCUCUCGCCUUCCUUGCUGCUUCCCUCUCGUCUCUCCACUAGCAGCAGCAGUGACGAGCCGCCAGCAGCAGCAGCAACUCCGGCCAGCAGCAACCAGCAGUCAGGCGAGGCAUGGCAAGCAGCGACCAGGAAGAUUCUCCCCUCUCCCAUCGCUCCUCCUCCCUUCUCCCUCUCAGCGCCUAUCUCUUCCCAUCUCUUUGCCCUCUCCUCUCCCCCUCUCUCCAGCUCGACGAGAAAGCAAUAACAGCUGUACAGAGACAGCAAGCUGCUGCGAGCUCCAACGAGAGACCAACGCACCUCCGGUGAGAAACAGCUAGAGGCUUUGGACUUAAAGUUCAAGAUGAUGAAGAGUGGCCUAGAAGAAUUUUUGGACAAAACUUUGUUUAUUUUAAAUUUGUGUAUAUUGUCAUCUGUUAUUUUAUUACAAUAUGUGUAUCACUCUAAAGCAACUCUUAUAUAUGAAGCAAAUAGGGGGAUCGCCUAGGGAGGGGAAAUUAUGUGUUAAUCAUUUUUAUUUGCAAACUUGUUUUGUGUUUAAAAGUAUGCUUAAAUGCAUAAUUUGGGUGAUAAAUGUUUAUGUGAUAAAAUAAAUUUUGAUCUAACCAAAUAAAAA